GGCUAGAUCAUAUAAAUACGGGAAACCACAUCCAGACCGGACAUGGACAGGAUUGACAGAUUGAUAACUCUUUCUCAAUUCCAUAGGUGGUGGUGCAUGGCCGUUCUUAGAAGGUGGAGGAAUUGUCUGGUUAAUUCUGAUAACAAAUGAGACUCUGGCAUGCUAACUAGCUACACAACCCCCAAGCAGUCGGUGUCCCCCAACUUCUUAGUUUUUUAAAGUAACUCAUUUAUUUUUAUAAGAAACUUCUGGAACCACAUUGCAAACUUCUUAGGUAGACCCCAACACUCGCUGGGGCAGCAC
rnacentral:ncRNA from 1 species